UACGGAGGGUGCAAGCGUUAAUCGGAAUUACUGGCGUAAAGCGCACGCAGGCGGUUGAUUAAGUUAGAUGUGAAAUCCCCGGGCUUAACCUGGGAAUGGCAUCUAAGACUGGUCAGCUAGAGUCUUGUAGAGGGGGGUAGAAUUCCAUGUGUAGCGGUGAAAUGCGUAGAGAUGUGGAGGAAUACCGGUGGCGAAGGCGGCCCCCUGGACAAAGACUGACGCUCAGGUGCGAAAGCGUGGGGAGCAAACAGG
rnacentral:rRNA from 1 species